rnacentral:tRNA from 1 species
ACCGCGAUAGCUCAGCUGGAAGAGCAUCUGCCCGGUAUGCGGAGGGUCGCCGGUUCGACUCCGGCUCGCGGCG